rnacentral:rRNA from 1 species
GGAUGCGAUCAUACCAGCACUAAAGCAUCGGAUCCCAUCAGAACUCUGAAGUUAAGCGUGCUUGGGCGAGAGUAGUACUAGGAUGGGUGACCUCCUGGGAAGUCCUCGUGUUGCAUUCC